GGGAAGAACAGGGAAGGGGGAAGAACAGGGAAGGGGGAAGAACACGAAAGCUAGGGGCAAGGGCACAAGGGGGAAGAACAGGGAAGGGGGAAGAACAGGGAAGGGGCAAGAACACGAAAGCUAAGGUGCAGAAACACUGGGGGGAAGGGAGAAGAACACAGGAGAAGAACACAAAGGAUUUGGCUAACUUUGCAGUCUGGUUGGUAGCAUGCUUUGGAAAAUAUUUUCAAGUUGGAAAUUGUUUUUCAAAGUUUCACUUUGGUGGGAUGGGAGAAGUGCUCAACAGUGUUCUUUGGAGAAUGUUAAGAAUGACAGCUGAGAAUGUGCAAAAUGGCAUUCCAAAUCUUUGAUAAAUUAUUAAACCCAUUGAGUGGCAGCACUCUCCCCCUGAUGAAUAAAAUCGCCUGGCAUUAGACAGAGUAAAGUAGUAAAGUGGACCGCAUCUGGGUGCAGUGCCAGUUAAUUUAUAGGGUUAACCUGAAAUCAACAAUAACACAUUAUUCCAACAUUUGAAAUUAUUUUUCAAGAAAUUCGUUAAUGUUCAGAAAAUCUAAUCAAAGUUCUUGACAAAUUCAAACACCUGUGUAAUGAGGUUUUCCUCACUAAUUGGCAAAGAGCAUGUAGGGUGUUGGACCCUAAUUAUCUCCUGAGAAUAGCUUGACUAUUUUUAAAAACUUUGCUUCUGAAAAAUUUGUCCCAAACCUUAAUGCAGAUCACCUAGGGUUCUGGCAUUCAGACCCAGUAAAAAUCAGCAUCAACCAACUUUGAUGAUUUAUUGGGGACAGGGGUGGAUCCAGUCAGAUCUUGUGGGGGGAGGGGGUCCCUAUUUUGCCAAAACUAAGAGGGGUGCACACCCCUAGAACCCCCUCCCUCCACCUGGUUGGGCCAUUUUCUUUUCCCCCGCUGAAAAAUAUCUGUGCAAACCUUUCUGGAUUUACACCUGGUGGUCAGAUUUGCUAGGGGUCGCUGUUGAUGUUGUACCUAGGAUGGAAUGCAGCUUGGCAUUUCAGCUGUAUGAGUACGGUGGCUAGGAGAUAAAGAACUUGUCAUUUGCGUACCAGCCACGUUAAAUUUUGCUGUUGUCACUAUUUACUUGCAGAGUUUUUAACAAGUCUUACUUUGCAAAUCGAAGUCGCAUGAAUGAAGUCUACUCUGCUUGCUUACAGGAAACUCUUUAUGGAGCUCGCCUGCUUCUUUGCUAUGGAAUGACAACUGUUUGACAUGACUUGACCAGCGCGUAAAUAAUAAAGCGUGUGUUUAGGCGUGUUUCUGUUCGUAGUCAGAAGUAAAGCUUUGUAACGUUUAGAGGGGAUCACACAUGUUUUGUAUAUUAAUUCUCGUGUUUGUCACGUUUUCAAAUUAAAAUUCUCAGACGGGAUAUGUAAACAUACCAUGUACCGUUGGAACGGAGUUGGUGUGUGUGCCAAGGCGCACGUUUCUCGCCUAGAAUUGCUUUUUGACUCACGGAUGUUGCGCGAAGCAACAACUGUGAGUCUUUGUGGUUACUUAAGUGUGGGGUGGGAGCAGUUAAACAAUAGGAAAUGACUAGCCUGCUUUGCGCGCACUGUUUGCCUACGAAUAGGGAACCUGCGUUCGUUCUUUUGAUUUGGCAAAAGAAGCAGGACAAACGGCAAAAACAACUGCAAACCGCUCUAAUUCUUUCUGUCACUUUCAUUUGAUCUCGUCCGUGAGUCGGCCUCAACUGCCUUUGAUUUUCAUUGUUGUGAAAUACAUGUUCUGAAUAAAAUGUUACUAACAUAGAUAUCUUAUAUACACUAGAUAGCGCAUCUCUUUUAGUAAAAUUGAAGCCAAGAAUAUUCCAGCGGUUACUCCCAUUUGAAUAGAUGGCGGCCAUGUUGGAGUUUCCCACUCGCUAAUAAACGCUUAAAAAACAACAAUAACUUUCAUCAUUUGAAUA
rnacentral:lncRNA from 1 species